rnacentral:lncRNA from 1 species
AUGUGUGUAUGUGUGUGUAUAUCUGUGCCUGUGUGUUUUUGUAUGUGUGUAUAUUGUAUGUAUAUGUGUUUUUAUGUGUGUCUGUGUGUUUGUAUAUGUGCAUAUUGUAUGUGUGUUAUAUAUGUGUGCAUAGUGUCUGUGUGUUUGUAUAUGUGUAUGUGUGUAGGUCUGUGUAUGUUGCAUAUGUGUAUACUGUGUGUGCGUUUGCAUAUAUGUGUACGUCUGUGUGUUUAUAUAUGUGCAUAUUGUAUGUAUGUGUGUAUGUGUAUAUAUAUAUGUGUAGGCCUGUGUCUGUGUGUGUUUGUAUAUGUGUAUACUGUAUGUGUGUGUGUUUUUAUAUAUGUGUAUGUCUGUGUGUGUUCUGUUUGUAUGUCUGUGUGUUUGUAUAUGUGCAUAUUGUAUGUAUGUGUGUUUGUGUAUGUGUGUAUAUGUAUAUGUGUAAGUCUGUGUCUGUUUGUAUAUUGUAUACUGUAUGUGUGUGUGUUUGUAUAUAUGUGUACAUCUGUGUGUAUUAUGUUUGUGUUUGUAUGUGUGUAUGUCUGUGUUUGUAUAUGUGUAUAUUGUAUGCACGUGUGUGUUGAUAUAUGUGUGUGUUGGUAUAUGGUAUGUGGGUAUGUAUGUGUGUGUGUUGUAUUUGCUGACAAGAGGAUAACAGUUCCCACCAGGAGGAGCAGCCAGCAACAACCACCCCAGAAAGUGGAGCCCAAGAAGCAUCAGCCGUCUCUCUGUUUCUGCGAUGGAACAUUCCGUGAUCAGCAGUGGCCUGGCUGGUACCGGUACCCAGCUCCAUCACUGACCAGGUCAAUGGCACUCCUCACCGGAUCUCCACCCCUUCAGCCUCAGAGCAGACAUGGGUGCCCACCUUCCUCACAAACUCGGUUUGAUCAACGCCCGAAAAAUAAACUAGAUUUUAUUUUACUAAUUCUAUUCCUAAUUACAAAGAUAAUUCAUCUUCAUCACAAGAAAAGGAGAAAUACCCAAAAACACAAAGAAAAUUUAAACUCUCACAGUCCCACCACUGUUAUUAUUGUGUUUACACCCUAA